rnacentral:rRNA from 1 species
ACGAACGCUGGCGGCACGCUUAACACAUGCAAGUCGAACGAGAGAAGAGAAGCUUGCUUUUCUGAUCUAGUGGCGGACGGGUGAGUAACACGUGAGCAAUCUGCCUUUCAGAGGGGGAUACCGAUUGGAAACGAUCGUUAAUACCGCAUAACAUAAUUGAACCGCAUGAUUUGAUUAUCAAAGAUUUAUCGCUGAAAGAUGAGCUCGCGUCUGAUUAGCUAGUUGGUAAGGUAACGGCUUACCAAGGCGACGAUCAGUAGCCGGACUGAGAGGUUGAUCGGCCACAUUGGGACUGAGACACGGCCCAGACUCCUACGGGAGGCAGCAGUGGGGAAUAUUGCACAAUGGAGGAAACUCUGAUGCAGCGAUGCCGCGUGAGGGAAGAAGGUUUUAGGAUUGUAAACCUCUGUCUUCAGGGACGAAAAAAGACGGUACCUGAGGAGGAAGCUCCGGCUAACUACGUGCCAGCAGCCGCGGUAAUACGUAGGGAGCGAGCGUUGUCCGGAAUUACUGGGUGUAAAGGGAGCGUAGGCGGGAUCGCAAGUCAGAUGUGAAAACUAUGGGCUUAACCCAUAAACUGCAUUUGAAACUGUGGUUCUUGAGUGAAGUAGAGGUAAGCGGAAUUCCUAGUGUAGCGGUGAAAUGCGUAGAUAUUAGGAGGAACAUCAGUGGCGAAGGCGGCUUACUGGGCUUUAACUGACGCUGAGGCUCGAAAGCGUGGGGAGCAAACAGGAUUAGAUACCCUGGUAGUCCACGCCGUAAACGAUGAUUACUAGGUGUGGGGGGACUGACCCCUUCCGUGCCGCAGCAAACGCAAUAAGUAAUCCACCUGGGGAGUACGACCGCAAGGUUGAAACUCAAAGGAAUUGACGGGGGCCCGCACAAGCAGUGGAGUAUGUGGAUUAAUUCGAAGCAACGCGAAGAACCUUACCAGGUCUUGACAUCGUAUGCAUAGCUCAGAGAUGAGUGAAAUCUCUUCGGAGACAUAUAGACAGGUGGUGCAUGGUUGUCGUCAGCUCGUGUCGUGAGAUGUUGGGUUAAGUCCGGCAACGAGCGCAACCCUUACUGUUAGUUGCUACGCAAGAGCACUCUAGCAGGACUGCCGUUGACAAAACGGAGGAAGGUGGGGAUGACGUCAAAUCAUCAUGCCCCUUAUGACCUGGGCCUCACACGUACUACAAUGGCUGUUAACAGAGGGAUGCAAAGCCGCGAGGUGGAGCGAACCCCUAAAAGCAGUCUUAGUUCGGAUUGUAGGCUGCAACCCGCCUACAUGAAGUCGGAAUUGCUAGUAAUCGCAGAUCAGCAUGCUGCGGUGAAUACGUUCCCGGGCCUUGUACACACCGCCCGUCACGCCAUGGGAGUCGGUAACACCCGAAGCCUGUAGUCUAACCGCAAGGAGGACGCAGUCGAAGGUGGGAUUGAUGACUGGGGUG